rnacentral:rRNA from 1 species
GAUGAACGCUGGCGGCGUGCCUAAUACAUGCAAGUCGAGCGAACAGACGAGGAGCUUGCUCCUUCGACGUUAGCGGCGGACGGGUGAGUAACACGUAGGUAACCUACCUAUAAGACUGGGAUAACUUCGGGAAACCGGAGCUAAUACCGGAUAAUAUUUCGAACCGCAUGGUUCGAUAGUGAAAGAUGGCUUUGCUAUCACUUAUAGAUGGACCUGCGCCGUAUUAGCUAGUUGGUAAGGUAACGGCUUACCAAGGCAACGAUACGUAGCCGACCUGAGAGGGUGAUCGGCCACACUGGAACUGAGACACGGUCCAGACUCCUACGGGAGGCAGCAGUAGGGAAUCUUCCGCAAUGGGCGAAAGCCUGACGGAGCAACGCCGCGGGAGUGAUGAAGGUCUUCGGAUCGUAAAACUCUGUUAUUAGGGAAGAACAAACGUGUAAGUAACUGUGCACGUCUGGACGGUACCUAAUCAGAAAGCCACGGCGAACUACGU